UGGGGAAUAUUGGACAAUGGGCGCAAGCCUGAUCCAGCCAUGCCGCGUGAGUGAUGAAGGCCCUAGGGUUGUAAAGCUCUUUCAGUGGGGAAGAUAAUGACGGUACCCACAGAAGAAGCCCCGGCUAACUUCGUGCCAGCAGCCGCGGUAAUACGAAGGGGGCUAGCGUUGUUCGGAAUUACUGGGCGUAAAGCGCGCGUAGGCGGGCUAUCAAGUUGGAGGUGAAAUGCCGGGGCUCAACCCCGGAACUGCCUUCAAAACUGAUAGCCUCGAGGAUGUGAGAGGAUAGUGGAAUUCCGAGUGUAGAGGUGAAAUUCGUAGAUAUUCGGAAGAACACCAGUGGCGAAGGCGACUGUCUGGCACAUUUCUGACGCUGAGGUGCGAAAGCGUGGGGAGCAAACAGGAUUAGAUACCCCCGUAGUCC
rnacentral:rRNA from 1 species